rnacentral:rRNA from 1 species
CAGCCGCGGUAAUACAGAGGGGGCAAGCGUUGUCCGGAUUGACUGGGCGUAAAGCGUAUGUAGGUGGUACGGCAGGUGGGGUGUUACAUCUCCAGGCUUAACCUGGAGCCGCCGCUCCAAACCGCCGCACUCGAGUCGUGCAGAGGUUGGUGGAAUUGCCGGUGUAGUGGUGAAAUGCGUAGAGAUCGGCAGGAACACCUAAAGCGAAAGCAGCCAACUGGGCACGUACUGACACUGAGGUACGACAGCGUGGGGAGCGAA